GGACCUCCUGAAGCACAACCUCAAGAGCUGCUCCAUCAAUUGGAAGACCUGGGAAGAACAAGCGAGGGACUGAGCCAACUGGCGAGCAAUGAUCCACAAGGGAGCAGAAAAGGAAGAAGAGAGAGACC